rnacentral:rRNA from 1 species
CUGGCGGCAUGCCUACACAUGCAGUCGAGCGGUAGAGAGAAUCUUGCUUCUCUUGAGAGCGGCAGACGGGUGAGUAAUGCCUAAGAAUCUGCCUGGUAGUGGGGGAUAACACUCGAAAACUGACUCUUAUACCGCAUACUUCCUACAGGAGAAAGCGGGGGACCUUCGGGCCUUGCGCUAUCAGAUGACCCUAGGUCAGAUUAUCUAUUUGGUGAGGUAAUGGCUCACCAACGACACUAUCCAUAUCUGGUCUGAGAAGAUGAUCCCUCACUCUGGAACUGACACACGGUCCACACUCCUACGGGAGGCAGCUGUGGGGAAUAUUGCACUAUGGGCGAAAGCCUGAUCCCGCCGUGCCGCGUGUGUGAAGAGCGUCUUCGGAUUGUACAGCACUUUUACUUGGGAGGAAGGGCCGUUACCUUAUACUUAGCUGUUUUGACUUUACCGACAGAAUACGCACCGGCUAACUCUGUGCCCGUACCCGCUGUUAU